GUUAUAGCUUAGUUGGUAGAGUGCUUGCCUCACAUGUACAAGGCCCUGGGUUCAAUCCACAGCACAACA
rnacentral:tRNA from 1 species